GGGUUGUGAGGUUAAGCGACUAAGCGUACACGGUGGAUGCCCUGGCAGUCAGAGGCGAUGAAGGGCGUGCUAAUCUGCGAUAAGCGCCGGUAAGGUGAUAUGAACCGUUAUAACCGGCGAUACCCGAAUGGGGAAACCCAGUGUGAUUCGUCACACUAUCAUUAACUGAAUCCAUAGGUUAAUGAGGCGAACCGGGGGAACUGAAACAUCUAAGUACCCCGAGGAAAAGAAAUCAACCGAGAUUCCCCCAGUAGCGGCGAGCGAACGGGGAGGAGCCCAGAGCCUGAAUCAGCAUGUGUGUUAGUGGAAGCGUCUGGAAAGGCGCGCGAUACAGGGUGACAGCCCCGUACACAAAAGCGCAUGUGCUGUGAGCUCGAUGAGUAGGGCGGGACACGUGGUAUCCUGUCUGAAUAUGGGGGGACCAUCCUCCAAGGCUAAAUACUCCUGACUGACCGAUAGUGAACCAGUACCGUGAGGGAAAGGCGAAAAGAACCCCGGCGAGGGGAGUGAAAAAGAACCUGAAACCGUGUACGUACAAGCAGUGGGAGCACNNNNNNNNNNNNNNNNNNNGGGCGUUAAGUUGCAGGGUAUAGACCCGAAACCCGGUGAUCUAGCCAUGGGCAGGUUGAAGGUUGGGUAACACUAACUGGAGGACCGAACCGACUAAUGUUGAAAAAUUAGCGGAUGACCUGUGGCUGGGGGUGAAAGGCCAAUCAAACCGGGAGAUAGCUGGUUCUCCCCGAAAGCUAUUUAGGUAGCGCCUCGUGAAUUCAUCUCCGGGGGUAGAGCACUGUUUCGGCUAGGGGGCCAUCCCGGCUUACCAACCCGAUGCAAACUGCGAAUACCGGAGAAUGUUAUCACGGGAGACACACGGCGGGUGCUAACGUCCGUCGUGAAGAGGGAAACAACCCAGACCGCCAGCUAAGGUCCCAAAGUCAUGGUUAAGUGGGAAACGAUGUGGGAAGGCCCAGACAGCCAGGAUGUUGGCUUAGAAGCAGCCAUCAUUUAAAGAAAGCGUAAUAGCUCACUGGUCGAGUCGGCCUGCGCGGAAGAUGUAACGGGGCUAAACCAUGCACCGAAGCUGCGGCAGCGACACUGUGUGUUGUUGGGUAGGGGAGCGUUCUGUAAGCCUGUGAAGGUGUGUCGUGAGGCAUGCUGGAGGUAUCAGAAGUGCGAAUGCUGACAUAAGUAACGAUAAAGCGGGUGAAAAGCCCGCUCGCCGGAAGACCAAGGGUUCCUGUCCAACGUUAAUCGGGGCAGGGUGAGUCGACCCCUAAGGCGAGGCCGAAAGGCGUAGUCGAUGGGAAACGGGUUAAUAUUCCCGUACUUGGUGUUACUGCGAAGGGGGGACGGAGAAGGCUAUGUUGGCCGGGCGACGGUUGUCCCGGUUUAAGCGUGUAGGUGUGUGUUCCAGGUAAAUCCGGUUCACUUUAACACUGAGGCGUGACGACGAGGCACUACGGUGCUGAAGCAACAAAUGCCCUGCUUCCAGGAAAAGCCUCUAAGCAUCAGGUAACAUCAAAUCGUACCCCAAACCGACACAGGUGGUCAGGUAGAGAAUACCAAGGCGCUUGAGAGAACUCGGGUGAAGGAACUAGGCAAAAUGGUGCCGUAACUUCGGGAGAAGGCACGCUGACACGUAGGUGAAGUGAUUUACUCAUGGAGCUGAAGUCAGUCGAAGAUACCAGCUGGCUGCAACUGUUUAUUAAAAACACAGCACUGUGCAAACACGAAAGUGGACGUAUACGGUGUGACGCCUGCCCGGUGCCGGAAGGUUAAUUGAUGGGGUCAGCGCAAGCGAAGCUCCUGAUCGAAGCCCCGGUAAACGGCGGCCGUAACUAUAACGGUCCUAAGGUAGCGAAAUUCCUUGUCGGGUAAGUUCCGACCUGCACGAAUGGCGUAAUGAUGGCCAGGCUGUCUCCACCCGAGACUCAGUGAAAUUGAACUCGCUGUGAAGAUGCAGUGUACCCGCGGCAAGACGGAAAGACCCCGUGAACCUUUACUAUAGCUUGACACUGAACAUUGAGCCUUGAUGUGUAGGAUAGGUGGGAGGCUUUGAAGUGUGGACGCCAGUCUGCAUGGAGCCGACCUUGAAAUACCACCCUUUAAUGUUUGAUGUUCUAACGUGGACCCGUUACCCGGGUUGCGGACAGUGUCUGGUGGGUAGUUUGACUGGGGCGGUCUCCUCCUAAAGAGUAACGGAGGAGCACGAAGGUUGGCUAAUCCUGGUCGGACAUCAGGAGGUUAGUGCAAUGGCAUAAGCCAGCUUGACUGCGAGCGUGACGGCGCGAGCAGGUGCGAAAGCAGGUCAUAGUGAUCCGGUGGUUCUGAAUGGAAGGGCCAUCGCUCAACGGAUAAAAGGUACUCCGGGGAUAACAGGCUGAUACCGCCCAAGAGUUCAUAUCGACGGCGGUGUUUGGCACCUCGAUGUCGGCUCAUCACAUCCUGGGGCUGAAGUAGGUCCCAAGGGUAUGGCUGUUCGCCAUUUAAAGUGGUACGCGAGCUGGGUUUAGAACGUCGUGAGACAGUUCGGUCCCUAUCUGCCGUGGGCGCUGGAGAACUGAGGGGGGCUGCUCCUAGUACGAGAGGACCGGAGUGGACGCAUCACUGGUGUUCGGGUUGUCAUGCCAAUGGCACUGCCCGGUAGCUAAAUGCGGAAGAGAUAAGUGCUGAAAGCAUCUAAGCACGAAACUUGCCCCGAGAUGAGUUCUCCCUGAGACUUAGAGUCUCCUGAAGGAACGUUGAAGACGACGACGUUGAUAGGCCGGGUGUGUAAGCGCAGCGAUGCGUUGAGCUAACCGGUACUAAUGAACCGUGAGGCUUAACCUUACAACGCCGAAG
rnacentral:rRNA from 1 species